rnacentral:rRNA from 1 species
AUUGAACGCUGGCGGCAGGCCUAACACAUGCAAGUCGAGCGGAUGAAGGGAGCUUGCUCCUGGAUUCAGCGGCGGACGGGUGAGUAAUGCCUAGGAAUCUGCCUGGUAGUGGGGGAUAACGUCCGGAAACGGGCGCUAAUACCGCAUACGUCCUGAGGGAGAAAGUGGGGGAGCUUCGGACCUCACGCUAUCAGAUGAGCCUAGGUCGGAUUAGCUAGUUGGUGGGGUAAAGGCCUUCCAAGGCGACGAUCCGUAACUGGUCUGAGAGGAUGAUCAGUCACAUUGGAACGGGGACACGGUCCAGACGCCUGAGGGAGGCACCAGUGUGGAAUGUUGGACAGUGGGGGGAAGCCUGAUCCAGCCAGGCCGCGUGUGUGAAGAAGGUCUUCGGAUUGUAAAGCACGUUAAGUGGUGAGGAAGGGCAGUAAGUUAAUACCUUGCUGUUGUGACGUUACCAACAGAAUAAGCACCGGCUAACUUCGUG